rnacentral:rRNA from 1 species
UGGGGAAUAUUGGACAAUGGGGGGAACCCUGAUCCAGCCAUGCCGCGUGUGUGAAGAAGGCCUUAUGGUUGUAAAGUUCUUUCGGUAUUGAGGAAGGUUGAUGUGUUAAUAGCACAUCAAAUUGACGUUAAAUACAGAAGAAGCACCGGCUAACUCCGUGCCAGCAGCCGCGGUAAUACGGAGGGUGCGAGCGUUAAUCGGAAUAACUGGGCGUAAAGGGCACGCAGGCGGUUAUUUAAGUGAGGUGUGAAAGCCCCGGGCUUAACCUGGGAAUUGCAUUUCAGACUGGGUAACUAGAGUACUUUAGGGAGGGGUAGAAUUCCACGUGUAGCGGUGAAAUGCGUAGAGAUGUGGAGGAAUACCGAAGGCGAAGGCAGCCCCUUGGGAAUGUACUGACGCUCAUGUGCGAAAGCGUGGGGAGCAAACAGGAUUAGAUACCCUGGUAGUCCACGCUGUAAACGCUGUCGAUUUGGGGGUUGGGGUUUAACUCUGGCGCCCGUAGCUAACGUGAUAAAUCGACCGCCUGGGGAGUACGGCCGCAAGGUUA